AGUGGGAUAGCUGGGUCAAAUGGUGGUUCCAUUCCAAGUUCAAUCUCUGCAAUGAUUUCCAUAGUGGUUGCACCAAUUUGCAGUCCCACCAGCAAU
rnacentral:pre_miRNA from 1 species